rnacentral:rRNA from 1 species
AUUGAACGCUGGCGGCAGGCUUAACACAUGCAAGUCGAACGAGUGGCGGGCGGGUGAGUCAUGCUUGGGAAUCUGGCUUAUGGAGGGGGAUAACGACGGGAAACUGUCGCUAAUACCGCGUACCAUAGGAUGAGCCCACGUGGGAUUAGCUAGUUGGUGGGGGAAUGGCCUACCAAGCCGAAGAUCUCUAGCUGGUAUGAGAGGAUGACCAUCCACACCGGGACUGAGACACGGCCCGUACUCCUACGGGAGGCAGCAGUGGGGAAUAUUGCGCAAUGGGGGCAACCUGACGCAGCCAUGCCGCGUGAGUGAAGAAGGCCUUCGGGUUGUAAAGUGCUUUCGGUGACGAGGCGUUAAUCACAGAAGAAGCACCGGCUAACUCCGUGCCAGCAGCCGCGGUAAUUC